AAUGGGGGAAACCCUGACGCAGCAACGCCGCGUGAAUGAUGAAGGCCUUAGGGUUGUAAAGUUCUGUCUUCUGGGACGAUAAUGACGGUACCAGAGGAGGAAGCCACGGCUAACUACGUGCCAGCAGCCGCGGUAAUACGUAGGUGGCAAGCGUUGUCCGGAAUUACUGGGCGUAAAGGGCGCGUAGGCGGCCUGUUAAGUCAGAUGUGAAACCCCCAGGCUCAACUUGGGGAUUGCAUAUGAAACUGAUGGGCUCGAGUGUCGGAGAGGAAAGCGGAAGUCCUAGUGUAGCGGUGAAAUGCGUAGAUAUUAGGAGGAACACCAGUGGCGAAGGCGGCUUUCUGGACGAUAACUGACGCUGAGGCGCGAAAGCGUGGGGAGCAAA
rnacentral:rRNA from 1 species